rnacentral:rRNA from 1 species
CCUACGGGUGGCAGCAGUGAGGAAUAUUGGGCAAUGGGCGAGAGCCUGAACCAGCCAAGUCGCGUGAGGGAGUACUGCCCUAUGGGUUGUAAACCUCUUUUGUCGGGGAGCAAAAGCCGGACGUGUCCGGCUGUGAGAGUACCCGAAGAAAAGCAUCGGCUAACUCCGUGCCAGCAGCCGCGAUAAGACGGAGGAUGCGAGUGUUAGCCGGAUGUAUUGGGUUUAAUGGGUGAGCAGGCGGAUUUUUAAGUCGGCGGUCAAACCGUGGGGCUCAACCCCAUCCAGCCGUUGAAACUGGGGGUCUAGAGUAUGCGAGAGGUAUGCGGAAUGCGUGGUGUAGCGGUGAAAUGCGUAGAUAUCACGCAGAACCCCGAUUGCGAAGGCAGCAUACCGGUGCACAACUGACGCUCAGGCACGAAAGCGUGGGUAUCGAACAGGAUUAGAUACCCUGGUAGUC